UCGAUUAGAGUUUGAUCCUGGCUCAGAUUGAACGCUGGCGGAAUGCUUUACACAUGCAAGUCGAACGGCAGCACGGACUUCGGUCUGGUGGCGAGUGGCGAACGGGUGAGUAACAUAUCGGAACGUAUCCAAUAAUGGGGGAUAACUAAUCGAAAGGUUGGCUAAUACCGCAUACGCCCUACGGGGGAAAGCUAGGGACCUUCGGGCCUGGCGUUAAUGGAGCGGCCGAUAUCUGAUUAGCUAGUUGGUGGGGUAAAGGCCCACCAAGGCGACGAUCAGUAGCUGGUCUGAGAGGACGACCAGCCACACUGGAACUGAGACACGGUCCAGACUCCUACGGGAGGCAGCAGUGGGGAAUUUUGGACAAUGGGCGCAAGCCUGAUCCAGCCAUUCCGCGUGAGUGAAGAAGGCCUUCGGGUUGUAAAGCUCUUUCGCAAGGGAAGAAAACUUAGCCUCUAACAUAGGCUGAGGUUGACGGUACCUUGAUAAGAAGCACCGGCUAACUACGUGCCAGCAGCCGCGGUAAUACGUAGGGUGCGAGCGUUAAUCGGAAUUACUGGGCGUAAAGCGUGCGCAGGCGGUUUUGAAAGUC
rnacentral:rRNA from 1 species